rnacentral:rRNA from 1 species
UGCCAGCCGCCGCGGUAACACGAACCGUCCAAACGUUAUUCGGUAUCACUGGGCUUAAAGCGUGCAUAGGCGGCUUGGUAGGUGAGAUGUGAAAGCCCCGGGCUCAACCUGGGAACUGCAUUCCAAACUGUCAAGCUAGAGUAUGGUAGAGGGAGGUAGAAUUUCCUGUGUAGCGGUGAAAUGCGUAGAUAUAGGAAGGAAUACCGGUGGCGAAGGCGGCCUCCUGGACCAAUACUGACGCUGAGGUGCGAAAGCGUGGGGAGCAAACAGGAUUAGAUA